GGAGUCGGCCGGAUAGUCGCUGCCGUGUUGCCUUCUGGCAAUGGGGGGGAGGAAAGUCCGGGCUCUACAGGACAGGAUGCCAGGUAAUGCCUGGGAGGCGUGAGCCUACGGAAAGUGCCACAGAAAAUAUACCGCCCGAAACUUUUUCGGGUAAGGGUGAAAUGGUGCGGUAAGAGCGCACCGCAUCGCUGGCAACAGCGAUGGCAGGGUAAACCCCAUCCGGAGCAAGACCAAAUAGGGGGACAGCCGGUUUCGGCCGCGACGUGUGGUCCGCACGGUCCCCGGGUAGGUUGCUAGAGGUCUGCGGUGACGCAGAUCCCAGAUGAAUGACUAUUCAAGACAGAACCCGGCUUACAGGCCGGCUCCCGCA
rnacentral:RNase_P_RNA from 1 species